CUGGUCCAAGCAGGGGCCACCGACUGCGCCGAGCCAGCCCAUCUCUCCAGCCCCUGGCACACAGACACCUAUUUUAUGGUUGCACGGACACUUUUGCCUUCCAGAGGCUCUGCACCUUCGCCUGCUGCACAUACAGAAACACAGAAGGGCCCAUACAGGAUGGUUUCCUGCUGUACUUCUGCUGGUCUAGAGGCUUCGGGUUUUGAGAUUUUGUGUCGUUUCCCCCUCUCCCAGCCUAUGUCUGUCUUGUCUACUUAAGCUGUCUGGGGGACGCCUUGGGGUCCCAGAUGAAAUCCUGACCCCAUUGUGUUAAGUGGAAACUGAAUGCUCUUCCCUGUGUUACUGAGACCAAUGUAUGGGACUUGAGUGACCCGAAGAAGUGAGGUUUUUACUCACGAAAGCUUAUGCCCAAAUAAAUCUGUUAGUCUUUAAGGUGC